AAGUAAAAGUCGUAACAAGGUCUCCGUUGGUGAACCAGCGGAGGGAUCAUUACCGAGUUUACAACUCCCAAACCCCUGUGAACAUACCACUUGUUGCCUCGGCGGAUCAGCCCGCUCCCGGUAAAACGGGACGGCCCGCCAGAGGACCCCUAAACUCUGUUUCUAUAUGUAACUUCUGAGUAAAACCAUAAAUAAAUCAAAACUUUCAACAACGGAUCUCUUGGUUCUGGCAUCGAUGAAGAACGCAGCAAAAUGCGAUAAGUAAUGUGAAUUGCAGAAUUCAGUGAAUCAUCGAAUCUUUGAACGCACAUUGCGCCCGCCAGUAUUCUGGCGGGCAUGCCUGUUCGAGCGUCAUUUCAACCCUCAAGCACAGCUUGGUGUUGGGACUCGCGUUAAUUCGCGUUCCCCAAAUUGAUUGGCGGUCACGUCGAGCUUCCAUAGCGUAGUAGUAAAACCCUCGUUACUGGUAAUCGUCGCGGCCACGCCGUUAAACCCCAACUUCUGAAUGUUGACCUCGGAUCAGGUAGGAAUACCCGCUGAACUUAAGCAUAUC
rnacentral:rRNA from 1 species